GACGAACGCUGGCGGCGUGCUUAACACAUGCAAGUCGAACGGAAAGGCUCCAGCUUGCUGGUGUACUCGAGUGGCGAACGGGUGAGUAACACGUGGGUAAUCUGCCCUGCACUCUGGGAUAAGCCUGGGAAACUGGGUCUACUACUGGAUCUGACCUUUCUCCUUAUGGGGUUUGGUGGAAAGUUUUUCGGUGUAGGAUGGGCCCGCGGCCUAUCAGCUUGUUGGUGGGGUGAUGGCCUACCAAGGCGACGCCGGGUAGCCGGCCUGAGAGGGUGAUCGGCCACAUUGGGACUGAGAUACGGCCCAGACUCCUACGGGAGGCAGCAGUGGGGAAUAUUGCACAAUGGGCGGAAGCCUGAUGCAGCGACGCCGCGUGAGGGAUGACGGCCUUCGGGUUGUAAACCUCUUUCAGCAGGGACGAAGCGUAAGUGACGGUACCUGCAGAAGAAGCACCGGCUAACUAUGUG
rnacentral:rRNA from 1 species